rnacentral:rRNA from 1 species
AUGUAUUUGCGUUGUGUGACAGGUGAUCGGCCUCGCGCUUGGGUGGACUGGCUCUCUUGGGCGGAGUACUGCUACAACACCUCUUAUCACUCCGCCCUGCGCGCUACGCCAUUUGAGGUGGUCUAUGGUCGACCACCCCCGCCUAUACUUCCGAUGGAUCCGGAGACAGCUCGGACGGAGGUUGCGGGUGACCUCAUCUGCACUCGUGACGAGAUGCUUGCUGAGGUUCGUCAGCGUCUCCUUCAGGCCCAGCAGCUGGCCAAGCACUACUACGACGAUCAUCAUCGCGAGGCGGAGUUCGCGGUGGGUGAUUGGGUGUGGCUGCGUCUUCUCCAUCGCUCUACGCAGUCCCUCGACCCGCACGCGAAGCGCAAGCUCGGCCCUCGCUACGCCGGGCCCUUCCCUAUCUUGGAGCGCAUUGGGAAGGUGGCCUAUCGUCUUCAGCUUCCGGCCCGCGCUCGCAUCCACGACAUUUUCCAUGUGGGGCUGCUCAAGCCUUUCCGUGGCGAGCCACCGGCGCUUCCUCCCAUCGCCAAUGGUCGCAUUCUUCCAGAGCCGGCAAAGGUAUUGCAGGCGCAGCUCCGUCGUGGCGUCUGGUUCAUCCUCGUUCAGUGGGCAGGCCUUCCGGAGGAGGAGGCUACUUGGGAGCAGCGUGAAGAAUUCCGCCAACACUAUCCAGACUUCCAGCUCGAGGACGAGCUGUUUGCGCAGGCAGGGAGAGAUGUUAUGACCGGUUUGGUCUAUACAAGGAAGAGGCCCACCGGGCAUUAG